AGAUUUACCAGACGAUGAUUCACUAUCUGUGCAAAGCAGGAAACUUUGAUCUGGCUUAUACCAUGUGUAAGGAUUGUAUGAGAAAGAAGUGGUACCCGAACUUGGAUACAGUUGAUAUGCUGCUCAAAGGGCUUGUGAAAAAGGGCCAGCUUGAUCAGGCUAAGUCGAUCAUGGCGUUAGUUCAAAAACGAGUGCCUCCUUUCAGCUCAAAACAGUUGGUCUCCCUUAAGUCCAUUUUGUAAUAUUUUACAUUGAAAAUGGAACAAAAUUUGCUACAUCUACACGACAAGGCGGCCACAGGAUUCUUUCUUUAUUUCUUUCUCCUGAGUUUGUUUUGUAUAGCUUUGGGGCGGGGGAACUGGAAAUUGGAUGUAGCCCCAUAUCAGGAGGUACAUUUAUCUUCUUAUCGGAUUCAACUAUUAGUUGCUCCGUGAUAAUAAAAGGCCAGGGUGAUUUGGAAACUCCAAUGGAUACCCACUCGAGAGCAAAAUGGCAUACGCAAAGUAGUUGUGACCGUGUGCAGAAGAAACUGAUAGGAUCUUUGUCUGAUGAUGCAAACGCUUCGCUAAAGCAACGAGCCCUGGGUAAAUUAGUUAUGUUCUUAGCUUCGUCCAGCCAAAGUAAAAGGCGUUAAACCUAAAACAUAGGCGUUGAUAGCUUUUCCUGCUAUAUAGCACACGAAUGUAAACAACAGAAAAAGAGAACAGAGACAACCCAGCAAUGCAUAAUUUUUUAUUGUUUA